rnacentral:lncRNA from 1 species
CGUUUUAUAACGAAGAGCCAAAGAACUUAUUUGUUCUUUAUCUUGCCAAGAAAGAUAGCUUGAUCAAAGUAGACAUGAGAACUAUUUCAUUGGAUAUUCUAUCUGAGGAGGAGUUUACCAAGCAUUCAGUGACAAUGUAGGUGGAUCGUGUGGUCUGUCACCAAGUUCAGAAUGCCACCAUGGCAAAUAUUUCCAAUGCUGACUCAAAACCCAUAUUUUGGCAUAAGAAACUUUCUCAGAUCCUCUCUGUGAGCGAAGAAGUUACACACAACAUGCCAGGUGCUCUUGAUACCACUGAUGGUAUGUGAGGAGUGUGAGGAAAUUGAGAAUGCUAGCUUAUCUGUGCAUCUCCCAAGAGCCAUAAGUUUAGAAGCAGAAGUGUCCCACAGAGUCCAAGGCAAGGUUAUUGCAGCUCCAGAGGAAAUGGCUGCAUCCUGGGCUCUGGAUGAAACCUCAGCGAUUCCCUAGUGCCUUUAGAGCUGCAACCUCCAGGCACCAACCACCAGAGGUGCUGAGAAGAGCUCUAUGAGUGUCUUCCUCUGUUCACAGGUACAUUGUGAGACACUGAGCUAGUUUUCUGUGGCUCAUAACAAAUUACCACAAGAUUAGUGGCUUAAAUAAUACAAAUUUUUUUCUCUUAAAGAUCUAGAAGUCAGAAAAUUUGUCUUAUGGGCUAAAAUCAAGGCAUUGGCAUGGCCACAUUCCCUCUAAAAGCUCCAGGGGAGAAUCCAUUUCCUUGCCUUUUCCAACUUCUAGAAGCUGCCUGCAUUCCUUGGCUGUGACCCUCUUCCAUCUUGCAAGCCAGUAAUCACAUCACUUGACCUCUGCUUCCAUUGUCACGUCUCUUUCUCUGACUCUCCUGCCUCACACUAUUCCUCAUAAUGGCCCUUGUGAUUAUAAUGGGCCCACCCAGAUAAUCCAGGAUAAUCUCCCCACCAAGAAAUCCUUAACUUUAUCAUAUCUGCCAAGUCCCUCUUGCUAUGUAAGGUUUUGGGAAUUAGGAUCUGGAUAUCUUUGCGGAGCCAUUAUUCUGUCUACUACAGACAUCAUGGGGCAAAACACUGAACUGCAGAGGUCAAAAAGAGGUUAACCUUCAACACUGAGGGCACCACACAGCCCGCACUGAGAAAUUGGUGCGUAUUCCAUGUGUCAUGAGGACGAAACACGCUCUGCAGAGAAAGCCUGAGAGUUCAACCUGCUGGACCAGGAAAACAACCCAUUAUCUGAAAAAUCCUGACCCUCAUCUUCUGCGUCCUGCGCUGCUCAGAUAACUCAGUUGAACUGCUAUAACGAGACUAUGAUUGAAUCAUUUCUGCGAGAUGUCCAGAUGUUAGAGUACAGCCUGUGCAGCAGGGAUGAGAAUCAUGGAGGAGGCAGGAGGGUGGCUCUGGAUUAUAAGCUGGAGGGGAGCGAAGGCCUCUGCUGUGACGAGUGUGC